rnacentral:rRNA from 1 species
UACGGAGGGUGCAAGCGUUAUCCGGAUUCACUGGGUUUAAAGGGUGCGUAGGCGGAAUGGAAAGUCCGUUGUGAAAUCUCUGAGCUUAACUCGGAAAUUGCGGUGGAUACUAUCAUUCUUGAAUACUGUGGAGGUUAGCGGAAUAUGUCAUGUAGCGGUGAAAUGCAUAGAUAUGACAUAGAACACCAAUUGCGAAGGCAGCUGGCUACACAGAUAUUGACGCUGAGGCACGAAAGCGUGGGGAUCAAAC